rnacentral:rRNA from 1 species
ACUGCUCAGUAACACGUAGUCAAUCUGCCCUUAGGACGGAGAUAACCCUGGGAAACUGGGGCUAAUAUCCGAUAGAUGAAGAUAUCUGGAAAGAUUUUCCCAUCUAAAGGUUUUUAGAUACAUGCUUCUAGAAAUGCCUAAGGAUGAGACUGCGUCCGAUCAGGCUGUUGGUGGGGUAACGGCCCACCAAACCUAUAACCGGUACGGGCCCUGAAAGGGGGAGCCCGGAGAUGGGAACUGAGACAAGGUCCCAGGCCCUACGGGGCGCAGCAGGCGCGAAACCUCCACAAUGCGCGAAAGCGUGAUGGGGUUACCCCGAGUGCUGUCCGUGAGGAUAGCUUUUCCCCAGUGUAAGGAGCUGGGGGAAUAAAGGGGGGGCAAGUCUGGUGUCAGCCGCCGCGGUAAUACCAGCCCCCUGAGUGAUAGGGACAUCUAUUUAGCCUAAAGCGUCCGUAGCCGGCUUAGCAAGUCUUUCGUUAAAUCUAACGACUUAAUCGCUAGACUGCGGAAGAUACUGCUAAGCUAGAGGGCGGGAGAGGUUGACGGUAGUCUCGGGGUAGGGGUGAAAUCCUAUAAUCCCGAGAGGACCACCAGUGGCGAAGGCGGUCAACUAGAACGCGCCUGACGGUGAGGGACGAAAGCUGGGGGAGCGAACCGGAUUAGACACCCGGGUAGUCCCAGCUGUAAACGAUGCGGGCUAAAGGGUGUUGGGAGCAGCUACGAGCUGCUCCAGUGCCCGCAGAGGAAGUUGUUAAGGCCCGCCCGCUUGGGAAGUACCGGUCGCAAGGCUGAAACUUAAAAGGAAAUUGGCGGGG